CGUGUCGCGCAUAUCUGCAUAUCAAUAAGCGGAGGAAAAGUACCUACGCUUAGGAUGUUGAAGAUAUGCGCGACACGACUCUAUACACGACUCUGUGCAUAUCAAUAAGCGGAGGAAAAGAAACUAACAAGGAUUCCCUUAGUAACGGCGAGUGAAGCGGGAAGAGCUCAAAUUUGAAAUCUUCAAGGUUCUACCUUGACGUAAUUGUAGUUUAAAGAAGUGUUUUCUGUUAGAUGAGUAGCAAAAGUUCCUUGGAAUGGGACAUCAUAGAGGGUGAGAAUCCCGUAUUUGGCUAUUCAUUCUAGCUUUGUGAUACACUUUCAAAGAGUCGGAUUGUUUGGGAAUGCAGUCCAAAAUGGGUGGUAAAUUUCAUCUAAAGCUAAAUAUUGGCGAGAGACCGAUAGCGAACAAGUACCGUGAGGGAAAGAUGAAAAGAACUUUGAAAAGAGAGUUAAACAGUACGUGAAAUUGUCAAAAGGGAAGCGUUUGACACCAGUGUUGUUUUUCCGAAAAUCAAUUACGAAUGGCUUGAUUUUGUGUUGUAUUGACCUUAUCAGCUUUCUGCACUUUUUUCGAGUCUUUCUUAAUGCACUCUUUCGGUUAACAAGUCAACAUCAAUUUCUUUUGUUGUAAAAGAGUAUUCGGAAGGUGGCUUUCUUUUCGGAGAAAGUGUUUAUAGCCCUAUACUUCUACAAUCGGAGAGAUUGAGGUCUGCAGCGUAGAUCCUUCGGGGUUAGAUACACUUGUGCUAAGUAGUAGCUUUUCAUAGACAACUUGUUGACUAUGUUUAGUCAUGCGGCUUACUCGCUUGUGCUAUUUUACCUACGCUUAGGAUGUUGAAGAUAUGCGCGACACG
rnacentral:rRNA from 1 species